rnacentral:rRNA from 1 species
UCCUACGGGGGGCAGCAGUGGGGAAUAUUGGACAAUGGGCGCAAGCCUGAUCCAGCCAUGCCGCGUGAGUGACGAAGGCCUUAGGGUUGUAAAGCUCUUUUGGCGGGGACGAUAAUGACGGUACCCGCAGAAUAAGCCCCGGCUAACUUCGUGCCAGCAGCCGCGGUAAUACGAAGGGGGCUAGCGUUGUUCGGAAUCACUGGGCGUAAAGCGCACGUAGGCGGAUUUGUUAGUCAGGGGUGAAAUCCCGGGGCGCAACCUCGGAACUGCCUUUGAUACUGCAAGUCUCGAGUCCGGAAGAGGUGAGUGGAAUUCCUAGUGUAGAGGUGAAAUUCGUAGAUAUUAGGAAGAACACCAGUGGCGAAGGCGGCUCACUGGUCCGGUACUGACGCUGAGGUGCGAAAGCGUGGGGAGCAAACAGGAUUAGAUACCCUUGUAGUCC